rnacentral:rRNA from 1 species
UACGUAGGUGGCAAGCGUUGUCCGGAAUUAUUGGGCGUAAAGCGCGCGCAGGCGGUUCGACAAGUCCGAUGUGAAAGCCCCGGGCUCAACCUGGGAAUGGCAUUGGAAACUGGCGAGCUUGAGUGUGGCAGAGGGGGGUGGAAUUCCGCGUGUAGCAGUGAAAUGCGUAGAGAUGCGGAGGAACACCGAUGGCGAAGGCAGCCCCCUGGGCUGACACUGACGCUCAGGCACGAAAGCGUGGGGAGCAAACAGG